GAUGAACGCUAGCGGCAGGCCUAACACAUGCAAGUCGAGGGAGAAGCCCUUUCGGGGGCAGAAACCGGCGCACGGGUGCGUAACGCGUAUGCAACCUACCUUUCACCGGGGGAUAGCCCGAAGAACUUGGGAUUAAUACCCCAUAAUAUUAUUGGAUGGCAUCAUUUGAUAAUUAAAACUGCGGUGGUGAAAGAUGGGCAUGCGUCCUAUUAGCUAGUUGGAGUGGUAACGGCACCCCAAGGCUACGAUAGGAAGGGGUCCUGAGAGGGAGAGCCCCCACACGGGUACUGAGACAGGGACGAGACUGCUACGGGAGGCAGCAGUGAGGAAUGUAGGUGAAGGGUCGGAAGACUGAACCAGCCAUGCCGCGUGCAGGAAGAAUGCGUUCGGGGUUGUAAACUGCUUUUAGAUGGGAAGUAUAAGGCGUACGGGUACGUUGAUGACGGUACCAUAUGAAUAAGCAUCGGCUAACUCCGUG
rnacentral:rRNA from 1 species